rnacentral:rRNA from 1 species
CGAAGGGGCUAGCGUUGCUCGGAAUCACUGGGCGUAAAGCGCACGUAGGCGGACUCUUAAGUCAGGGGUGAAAUCCUGGAGCUCAACUCCAGAACUGCCUUUGAUACUGGGAGUCUUGAGUCCGGAAGAGGUAAGUGGAACUGCGAGUGUAGAGGUGAAAUUCGUAGAUAUUCGCAAGAACACCAGUGGCGAAGGCGGCUUACUGGUCCGGUACUGACGCUGAGGUGCGAAAGCGUGGGGGAGCAAACAGGAUU